UCAACAAAAGCUUCAUAUAGGCACCAAAUAGAUUUGAUUAAUUUACAAGAAACACGACGGCCCGAACUGUUACGGAGCAACGCGAGCUAGGUUGUUCACCAAUACACACACCACUCUCCAGAUAACUGAAGAGGGGAAAUGGCUGGAAGAAACCGUGGUGGACCUCCUUUUGCUAUGAAAGGGGCACCUCACGCGGGACUGCCUCCUGGUCAUGAACCUCCUUAUGGUAGGAAUCUUGGUCCGGUGCCGCAUCCUGCAUUGCUUGAUGAGAUGAGAGAAUCUCAGUAUCGGAUGGAUCACAGACAGCUUCCUCCUCAUCCUGCUAUAAUCGAGGAGCGUCUUGCUGCACAACACCGGGAUAUUCAAGCUCUUUUAGCUGAUAACCAGAGGUUUGCUGCAACUCAUGUUGCACUUAAGCAGGAGUUGGAAGUGGCUCAGCAUGAGCUUCAACGAACAGAUCAUGUUGCUCGUGCAAUGCACGUAGAGAAGGAUAUGCAGAUGAGGGAGUUAGUUGAAAAUGCUGUCAAAUUGGAACAAGAACUACAUGGGGUGGAUGCCAUGAGGGCUGAGCUUAUGAAGGUACAUGCUGAUAUUAAGGACUUAAGUGCUGAUAGACAAAAGCUUACUGCUCAGGUCCAAGCAAUGACUCAAGAUUUGGGCAGAGCCACUGCCGAGCUGCAGCAGAUUCCAGCUGUGAAAGCAGAAAUUGAAGGACUAAAGCAGGAGUUGCAGCGAGCCAGGACUACAAUUGAGUAUGAGAAAAAGGGAUAUGCGGAAAAUUAUGAGCAUGGUCAAAUGAUGGAGAAGAAGUUAGUUUCGAUGGCUCGAGAGUUGGAAAAACUUCGUGCUGAGAUGGCUAAUGCAGAAAAAAGGGCUCGUGCUGCUGCUGCUGUUGGUAAUCCAGGUGCAGGUUAUAAUGGAGGUUAUGUCAAUCCUGAAGCUGGUUAUGCCACAAAUGCUUAUCAUGCUUCAUAUGGCAUGAAUCCCAUGAAUCCCAUGAAUCCUGUGCAGGCUAGUGGAGAAGGUUAUUCUCAAUAUGGACCUGGACCUGGGCAGUGGGGUGCCUAUGAUGCACAACGAGCUCAGGGACACAGAUAGAGUGCUCCGUGCCAUGCUGAUCUCUUGAUUUCUUGCUAUGCACUGGGUCCCUCAGGUUUGCAGCGACAAAUAGGAUCUCUUGGAGAUGCGGCAAUGAGCUUUCCUGCCAGAGUCCAUCAUAAUGGUUCCAUGCAGGCUGCUAAUGCUAUAAAGACGGAGGCAUACAGAUUUUGAUAUCCAUGGGCUCUCACAUCAUUUCCUUGGAAAGAUAUUAAAUCACCACGGGACACUUUAAAUUCCUCUAGCUUCGUCCCAUUUAAGCCAAUGGAGUAAUAUAAAUAUUAAAAUCUCUAUAGCAUGAGGUAAACAUGAAGUAUAAAUGGGGAUGAAUUCAACAGAUAAAUGGUAAAACUAGUUUAGACGAAGUAGAUAGGCGGGUUUCUUAGAAAGUCACCAUAACUAGUUUAACCUGAUCAGGAAUUGCAUUUGGAUUAUAUUCUGAACAGGGCAAUUUUAUUUGUAUUAACGUUGCUUACAUCCUGCUUGAUAUAAGAUGUCUUGCGGAGUUGUUGCUCAGAACGAAAUAAAAAUGAUAAAAAAGUUGAAAAUAA